AUUAAUAGCUCCUUUGUCGUACCAACAGGAACGAUUACCAACAGUGCCUUUAUCCGGAAUGUUUAACAAAUCCGGAGGAAAAGUAAGACUCACAUUCAAACUGGAGCAAGAUCAGUUGUGGAUCGGAACAAAAGAGAGAACAGAGAAAGUUCCAAUGGGCUCUAUUAAAAAUGUAGUGUCCGAACCCAUCGAAGGCCAUGAGGACUAUCACAUGAUGGACCCAAAUGAUUCUGACCACAGAAUCCUGCUUUUCAAAAUUCCUGUGAAUCCAUGGAGUACUCCUGUAUCCUCUCAACUACGAAGAAGCAGAGAGUUCCAGCAAAGCCGAGGAUGACCAGAAGCAGGAGCUGCCACGUUAGCAGAAGGUCCUCGUCCACAGCCAUGGAAAUUAAAACACGCCUGAAAAAAAAUCAUAUUGAGGGCCUUUCUUGCCCUCAACAGUUCUCCAUCUUAGCUGGCCAGGAUCUGCCUGAUUGCAGCCUACUCUUCUUGAGUGCCGUCACUGGGCUCGACUAGGUCGAAGAUACAAAAACCUGGACGAAAGAAAUUCCAGUGUAAUUUUUUUGAAGGACAAAUCUGGUUCCAAAUUUCUGCAAUUUGGAACCAGUACCAUUACGUUCAUCUUGACAAACACUUGGAAAAUCCAAGGCUGGCAAUUUGGAGGAAAAUCAUUUUGUGGAUAAAAAAAAAAAGUAAAUUCACAACUGUUUCCUCUUUGAUUCGUUAUGUUAUUCCUGAGUGACGACCUCAGUACAUUCUGGUUGAUUUUGUAAGACCACGGGGAAAGAAGUGUAAUUAUCUGGAGAAAAGUCCUUUACGUUGUGCGCGUUGAGAGCAGCGACUGCCCUUCCUCUUCAGACAGCAGCUCCUCUUCACGAUGACUCGUCCUCAAGACCAGGAAGCUGAGCGUGCCAAGGACGGAGGAGACCAGCAGGAACAGAAAAAUAUUCCUCCUGCUGCUGUCUGAGAUUAAAAUAAACGGCUUUAAUAAAAGGCGACAGAUAUUUUAAAACCGUUGAGCUGAGACAGAUUUAUAAUUACCACCCAGUCGUAUAAUCCUGUGUGAUGAUAAUUUACUUGCAUUAUCGUGCAACAUUUUUGCUUUUAUAAUCAAAACGGUAAUUAGCCAAGUCUGACUUCACCUGAUAUUUCUGAUUUUCCGUUCCAGUCGAGGUAAAUGUAAAGAUUCCCAAACAGCAUGCUGCAAAUGAAAGGGACUCCAUUAAUGAAUGGGGGAAAAAAAGCUUCUAUUGUCUUUCUGAUCAUUAGCACAGCUGGCCUGUUUGUUUUCACCCGUCCAUAAAUAUGCCGCCCACUUUCCCUUUAUGGAGCUUUUAAAUCAAGCCUGCUGUACAAGUCCACACUGCCCACAAUUGCUCUUUAUAUAUUAUACAGAGCACUGUAUAUUCACUAUAUAUGCCAUGUUAUCCCAGCGUCAGCAUUCUGUGUGAAGUUUAUGGAGCGUGGCACCCACAGAAAUCCCCACAAUGAAAUGUAAAAUGUAGCCUCUGCUUGUCAUUACAUAAAAGAACAAAUGUUGUCUCUCUGAAAAGUCCCAUAAUGUAACACAUCAGCUGCUAUCAUGCAAAAACUGCUACUGAGCAGUAGUAAGUCUGUCCAUGUGUCAUUUUGAGGUGGAGUUGUUUUCUUUUUUCUUCCCAUGUUCUCAUCUGUUCUUCAUUGAUUUUUUUAAACGAAUGCAUCUACUAUUCCUCCAUGCUCAUGUGAGCAAAAAGCAUGCAAGUCUGAGGAAAAUACAUGUAUUUUGUAGCUGAAAUAAAAAUUAGAAAUAUACUAGAAUGGA